CGGGGUGUAGCGCAGUUGGCUAGCGCGUGCGCAUGGGGUGCGUAAGGUCGUCAGUUCAAAUCUGAUCACCCCGACCA
rnacentral:tRNA from 1 species